rnacentral:tRNA from 1 species
UUCUUAAUAGCUCAGUGGUUAGAGCACUCGGCUGUUAACCGAGUUGUCGUUGGUUCGAAUCCAUCUUAAGAAG